rnacentral:rRNA from 1 species
CAGCAGCCGCGGUAAUACGUAGGGGGCGAGCGUUACCCGGAUUCACUGGGCGUAAAGGGGGUGUAGGCGGCUCGGUAAGUCGGGUGUGAAAUCCCACGGCUCAACCGUGGAAUUGCGCCCGAAACUGCCGAGCUUGGGGCCGGUAGAGGGAGACGGAACUGCCGGUGUAGGGGUGAAAUCCGUAGAUAUCGGCAGGAACGCCGGUGGGGAAGCCGGUCUCCUGGGCCGCGCCCGACGCUGAGGCCCGAAAGCUAGGGGAGCAAACCGGAUUAGAUACCCCGGUAGUCCGAGCUGUAAACGAUGGGCACUAGGUGUGGGUGGUGUUGAACCAUCCGUGCCGUAGCUAACGCAUUAAGUGCCCCGCCUGGGGAGUACGGCCGCAAGGUUGAAACUUAAAGGAAUUGGCGGG